rnacentral:misc_RNA from 1 species
AGGAAUCCUCUGGUGCCUGUUGGUAAACGAAAUUCCAUUUUCACCCUUACAAUUUUUUUGGGUUAAAUUUAUUUUUUAUAUUCUAUUGCCUCUAUAUUGAGUAUGGAUCAUUUUGUGUGCUUUUGUGAUGCUUAUGUUUGAAUUUUGUUGAUAUGGACUGUGUUGGUGAAGAAUUUUGAUCAAUUUUAGGGGUUUUGUUAUGUGGAUCAUAUUUAUCUAGGAACUUUUCCGGUAAACAGAAUGGUUCAUUGGCGUUUAUUGGUGGUCAAUUGGAAAAAUUUUGAGGAUUAUGCGGUUCCUUUUAACCUUCUUGCGCAUUUUAUGAAGAUUUUUAGUGAUAGAUAUGCAAAUGCGUUUCUAGUGGUCACUGAAAAUGGUUCUUUUUCUUUGUUUGAGGAAAUUCGUACAUGUUAGAGGUAAUUCUAUUGAUAUCUGAUAAUAUUCUAGUUGAGUUGUAAGAAGUUACAUUUUGAAAAUGAUUAAUGAAUUAACUCCAUUAUGAAUUGCUAGAGAAAUGGAUCAGCAUGGAAUUUCAGUCUAAUAUUUUUCAUUGAUCAAACAGGAUUCAGGACUCAUUGUUUCCCUUGUAGUUGAACCACAUUGGGAGUUGUUUCCUUUUUUUGGGUGAAGC